GAUGAACGCUGGCGGCGUGCCUAACACAUGCCAGUCGAACGAAGCGCCUUACCGUAUUCUUCGUAUGAAGGUCUGGUGACUGAGUGGCGGACGGGUGUGUAACGCGCGGGUAACUUGCCCUGUACAGGGGGACAACAGCUGGAACCGGCUGCUAAUACCUCAUAAGCGCACGAGGAGACAUCUCCUCGUCUGAAAAACUUCGGUGGUACAGGAUGGGCCCGCGUCUGAUUAGCUGGUUGGCAGGGUAACGGCCUACCAAGGCAACGAUCAGUAGCCGGGCGGAGAAGAUGAACGGCCGGGAUGGAGCUGAGGCACGGUCCAAACUCCUACGGAGGGGAGCGGUAGAGAAUAUUGCACGAUGAAGGAUGACGUAGUACAGCAGCGCGGCGGAAGUGGAGAAGUAUUUCGGUAUGUAAAGCUGUAUCAGCAGAGGAGAUAGUGACGGUACCUGAUUAAGAAGCACCGGCUAAAUACGUG
rnacentral:rRNA from 1 species